GGGAGACUAGCCAAAAUAUCUUAAAUGUUUCGCUGCCCUCAAUCUCAUAAUACAACAGUAGUGCAUAUUUUAAAAGUUACCUGUCCAAUUGAAUUGGAUAGCACAGGUGAGCCUAGACCAGGGAGAACAGAAGCAAACGGACACACAGCUAUAUGCAAAUAAUGUCAAAGGACAUAAAUUAUGGUGAUGUUGGGUAUUAUACAGCAAUUCCUAACAAAGGGAUUUUCAAAGUUAACCCAAUUACCCCACCAGGUUCCAGAUGCCAGCAUGAUGCCGACCAGACUUCUCUGGACAGACAACCUCACCAAUGUGUCCUGGAGCUCCACUACCCCAGAAAAAGGGGUAGUGGAGCUACUAGGGAAAGACAAAGGCAGGCUAAGAGUAUGGAUCGACCAGUCAACACCCAUGUUCAGCGGGGAAGCAAUUACAGAAGCCAGACCUUCCACUUUCUGCACCCCACAAUGACCUUGGGUCCAUACUCCCAGAGGGA